rnacentral:rRNA from 1 species
CCUACGGGGGGCAGCAGUGGGGAAUAUUGGACAAUGGGGGCAACCCUGAUCCAGCUAUGCCGCGUGUGUGAAGAAGGCCCUCGGGUUGUAAAGCACUUUCAGUGAGGAAGAACGCCUGGUGGUUAAUACCCAUCAGGAAAGACAUCACUCACAGAAGAAGCACCGGCUAACUCCGUGCCAGCAGCCGCGGUAAUACGGAGGGUGCGAGCGUUAAUCGGAAUUACUGGGCGUAAAGCGCGCGUAGGUGGCUUGAUAAGCCGGUUGUGAAAGCCCCGGGCUCAACCUGGGAACGGCAUCCGGAACUGUCAAGCUAGAGUGCAGGAGAGGAAGGUAGAAUUCCCGGUGUAGCGGUGAAAUGCGUAGAGAUCGGGAGGAAUACCAGUGGCGAAGGCGGCCUUCUGGACUGACACUGACACUGAGGUGCGAAAGCGUGGGUAGCAAACAGGAUUAGAUACCCUUGUAGUC